ensembl:lncRNA
GUCUGUGUGUGAGAGAGAGACAUCAGGAAGCAGUCAAGCAAAGGGCUCCAGGCCAGAAGCAUUGGGUUUAUAAGCAGGACUAUGACUCAAACAAGACUCUGAACAAGCUCUGAAUUUGUUAAGAAAACGGGGAGCCUAAAAUAUAUUCCUAGGCAAUAGGCAUAGACUCCAUACAGAAAAUGGAGCCUGGGAGACGAGAGAUUUCUUUAGCAUUCAGUGUAGGGUUUCAGUCAUGAGGAGAUUAUUUAAAUUAGAUUCAUCUUCUUGUAUCUUGCAUUGCAUCUUCCAUCACAGCAAAGAACCAGUCUGUGUUUUAAAACUGAAAAUUUAAUUUGGUGUUAUAGCUCAAUGUAUUAAAAUAAGGUCAAGAAGACUUGUUUGUGAACCUUCUCCUACAUUUGUCGCGACUUAAGAGGUGAAGGAUAAAAACUUAAAAACGAGAGAGAUAAGGGCAGCAAAAACCUCAUUCAUACAUUUUUAAUUUUCCAUUAAAAUCAACUCAAUAUGCUAGUGUUCCCUAAUCUGCUCUUGACAAAAACAAUAUGGGCGAGCUUUGUCCUUGCUUUCCAUAACCUCUUGUGACCGGCGUCCAUCUAUUUCAAGACGAGCUGAAAGAGCAGGCUGAUCUCCUUGCCGGAUAACAAUAAAUCACAGCCCUGUUCAAAAGUAAUGCGCAGAAAUGCACAGACAAAGGGAACAUAUUCAAUUCAAUCUCCAAAGCUUUGCAAAUUGGUGCGGUGUGCCAGGGGACUUGAGGUGACCAUCUCACCUUUCUUUCAGAAUGAGCUUCUUUUCCCCCCUGAGCUCUUCUAGCUGAGGCUCCAAUUAAUUCAAGGCUUUUAUUUAAAUGACUGCUCAUUAUUGUAAUUGCAAAAGUGUUUAGGAGCUUUAAGAAAUGGCAUAACUUUUGAGUGAAGCAUAUUCAUAUAUAAGCAUAACAAUAAUAUAUAUGUAUAGAGAGACAUAUAUAGACAGAGACAUGGGCAAGACUAUACAUACAUAUCUGCAUCAUUUUGUAUGGAUAAAAUUGUAUCCACAUAAUAUGCCCCAUUGCAUCAUAAAAUGCCUGUGAGUUUUCUUGCCUCUUGCAUGGAAAAGUUUUGGCCAGGGAGCUAUGCAAACACGUUGUCCUGGAUAAAAUACUGUGUGUGUCAUCGCUGAUUCAGAAUUCCAACUGGGCUAAAGUCUUACACAAUAACUGACAAAUAUGAGAUUACAGCUCAUGUGCAGCAGACUUGAGCACUGUCCCAAAUUCACAGUUUUCUUCUGGCAAUUUGCUGUCUGAAGUACAUGUGUUUGAAAUCAUGCAAUCAGUUUUAUAGAAGAGACAUAUGGAGGGAAUUGCAUUGGCUUACAUCAAAUCAUCAAAUAAUUUCUCGUUGGCCAUCACACUUGCCACAUCCUCCUUUAAAUGGGCACUUAUUUUAUUGGCUCAUGAAUAACCUCUCAGGAACCCUGAGACAGGCAUGGAAGUCUUCAACUUCAGCCUUUGUUAUUACAUGACAUUUAUGCCCUUCAAGCCUGAUACAUGAAGGCACUUAUUUUGGGGAAGGCAGAUGGAAUCUUCGGCCACAUGAGACCAGUCCUACUCACAGGCUCUGAAGAUGACAUCAUUUUCUUUGCCCACAGUUCAAUGCGCCUUGCUCAUUUGGCCUAUCUGGCAACCCAGUGAGGUAUGGUGCUGAAAGCCGAAACAAGACACAAGGCAGGUGGCCAUUAGACUCGUCUGUAACAACAUCCACGAGGAAAAUGUGUCAGUCCUGCGGAAUGUGAUUAAGAAAGCCAAGCGAAUGGCCCGGGGAGGAAGGUUCACACGACUGGUAGCACGCGAGAAGGCCAUCAGCGGAGGGGGACGAGGAGGAGGGAUUAGCCCGACUCACUGUGGCACCUGCAGACGCAGUGGCAUCAUGUGCACAGCCACCACGACUCUCAUUCAUCCUCACACGGAAUGCUUUUAUUGCUCACCGAGGGGUGUUCAAAAUCCAGGAAAACAUGACAACAAAUAAAAAUAAGCCAGCAUGCCCACCACCCAAAUGAUUUUAUCAGAGGCUAAUGGAAAACAAACAACCGUCUCUGGCAAGAGACAAUUAUCUUCCAGAGCAGCAUGUGUUCUUUAAGUCAAAUUAUAAAGACACUGACAGACACUUUAAAACUUGUAAAUGGCAAAUUAUUGCCAUUACUGGAUGAUUACAAAUUCUCGUAUGGCCCAUUAAAUUCACAUAAAGUGUUCCUGGGGUAGAGUUUUUAAUGGAGAUUGAUUUUGCAGAUAGAUACGGAAACAGAUGACAGAAGGUCAGCAUUUUAUAACAAAAAAUGUAAUUUGGGUGGCUGAUCCAUCUUCCAGAACUUUAAAAAGAUUAAAAUGAUAAGCAGAUGCUACACAAAUUGUUAAAGCAGUUGUUUAUCACUUCAGGUUAACCUGUACACGCACUCAGAGGUAUGCGUAGAAGUAUGUAAGUGGUUAUAUAUCAAUUUCCUACUGUAGCUGAAACCGGGUGGACGAUCUAUUCAUUUUCGUUACGUUACAUUCAUUAUGUUGGUGCUACGCAUGGUACUUAAAUCAUCGUGUGCCCUUGAAUAAAUGAUCAUAGUCUGGCAGGUUUACUCAAAUAGCCCUACAUGCAAUCACUGACAGUUAUUCACAUUCAUUUUUCACUCAUAGUCAUUCCAUUAUUCAUAGUCCUGCAUAGAAACUGACCCUAAAAUCAAUGCAACUUUAAGACUUUCAGUCAUCCAUAAACGUUCAUUCCUCGGUUCGCUGACCAGAAGCCAAGGCCCUUCUCCAGGAGAGGACGUUGCCUGAUAUGUUCCAUAUUCAGGUGAUUUCUGAGAUGGAAAACCGGUUUGAAGCUGGACAAGAGGCCUGGCUGUCUAGCCUCUGUUCCUAAUAAUUAGUCUGUGCCGAAUCAGACAGAUGGGAAACAUCAAACUGAUGGACAGUGUGGUCCAAAAUAAAGGCCUGUUUAAUCUCAGGUCAGUGGCAUGAGCUUCACAGGCCAGUGGACUCGGAGCCCGCCUCCCCUCCUCCUUCACUCCUCCUUAAUCUCUCCCUGGCAGAAAGCUGACUGAUCAUUCUUGCCACUGCAUGUAGGGUAUGCUGGGCUGAAGUUCCACUGAUGCUACAAAACAUUGUGAAGCAUUUUCUAAUUAAUUACACCCCCCCCCCCCCCCCCCCCCAACCAAUUACAUUGGGAUAAAAUUAAUUUUCAAUCUGUUUGAGUAAUUUUUUUAAUCCAGAAUUCGUUAUGCUUUAAACAUAAGCACAAGUCAAAUUGAAUAUAUACAACCUAUAGACACAAUUUCAAAUAUAGUGCGGGACACUCUUGCCCUGACAUAUUGUAAACCCUGAAAUUUCUUUGGACUGUAAUCAAUCAGUCACUUGUGCUACAUGAAAACACCACACUACGGCCAGAGUAAAUGUGGGAGCUUCCAAGGAUUCUUAAGCAAAAGUAUUUCUGAUUCUAGUCCAAGGGCUAUUGCAUAACUGGCAAAGACCUUAGCUCAUGUACUAUAGACGUAUUCAAACUUCAUCUACUGGUGCACAUAACCCGACAAUGACCCGUGUGCAGAUGUUUCACUGUUGACAGAUCAACGCCUCAUCUAUUACCUUCUCCAUUUUAAAUCAUUUAAAAGACAGAGAAGGUUGAAGGUUUCAAGACAUACUUCCCGAUGGCCCUGGAUGCUCUCACACUGUUGACAGACACAACGGCAGUUCUAAGCAAAGCAAAUCACUGCUAAUCAUCUCCAGACAAACAGAUGCCAGACUGAUAAAAUGAGUGACAUGCGUCUGUGCUUAUUUAAACAUCUGAGGAAACUUAAAACAGAGGGAGAGGACUGAGGAUCAAUUACUCGCAGGCUUCUUCAAUUUGAGGAGAGUAACCAGCCAAAGCACCAGAACAUUGCUACCUUGUGCCGUUAAAGAUAAACACUUGACUCAUAUGGAGUCAUCCAUUGAUCCCUUACAUCACAUGCUCAUGAAUUUCUGAACAUUUGACAAAUAAUAAGAAGAAUAUAACUUCAAAACGGAACUCUGUAAGAAAUUUGGCUGAUAGUCAUGUCAAUAUCUGGAGCGGAGUGUCUUGUUAUGACAGGGACAAGGACAGCCAGCACUGUCUGUUCCCAUCUAGUGAGAGGUACUCCAAUCAGUUAUGACUGUGCCGAGAGAACAAUUAUACGCCUUGCAAUUGACUGCACCAAGCAAUGUAUGAGACAAGUGCAGUUUUAUACAACUAUUCGCAAUGUAAUGUUUGAGACUCUCCUAACUCACAACAAGGGUUCAACCGACCCUCAGCCAAACUACUGCACUGUUUGUUGCAAUACAAAAAGCCAACCUAAACAUGACCCCAAGGUCAAGAGGUGGCAGCUGAGACGUGAGCCACAACAUCCUGCAGGGAAAGUGGUCUACAAACUGAGACACACUCCUUCAGCACAGGAUGGCCUCCAGCAUGUGUUCUCUGCGGAAUGGGCCUAAACUCCAAGAAAAUAAAACAUACGUAACUCCGAGGGUUGUAACCGUGAGAAGAACAUCGGGUCAACCUGACUGUGAGACCUGUUUGUUUUUGUUUGGCUCUGGUUGUGCAAUUCUUUGUUUCAAAUGGAUUCAGGCAGGAGUUUUUCCACGUAGCCUGGUAAUCAUCGCCAAGCAUCUGAUCUGAAGCACAAAGACGUCGUGAAAUGAUCAAAUAUUUGCCGAGUUGGCUUUUUUUGAAAGAAUACUGAAGCUCGUAUUCUCAAUGGGAUUCUGCUGCUUGAUUGUUUACUAUGUUCAGACGCGCCAUGGAAUCUUUUUUUUUAAAAGGAGCACGACUGGAAAAACAAAAACACAAAGCUGAAACUCACAUGGCCAAUACUUGAAAAGCCAGUGCCAUUUCAUGUUCUAUAAAUUACACAACAACAGCAACUCUCUUUUCUCAGCUCUGUUCGCCGUCUCCAUCAUAAAUUAUUCAGCCUCACAAUGCUGUGUCGAUGCACAAACACCGGCACAAACACCAAGACACACUCGGCGUGAACAACACAGCCCGUUUGGUACUUGGCUCACGUGUGAUCUGGACCCAGUGCUAGUGUGUACUUUCCAGACACGCCGGGGCGCCCAGAGAGUCUUCAGACAUAUGGUUUCAUUUCGGAGCACCACCAGGUGGUUUCCCCCAACCCUCCCCUCAAGAUGCUGGUUCUGAUAAGGGGGUCCAACAGUGCUCCUUUACAUUCUGUGCCCCACCUCCACCAGAUGAAUGCUGCUCCCCUGAGCUGCAAACCUGGCCAAAUGGAGAUGGCACUAGGCACCUACACAAGAUUUAAUAGCCCGUGGCGUGCAGUAUCCGCAACGCAGGAUUAUCACAGGUGGCUCUCAGUUCCUCUUAUUAGGACUUAAACCAUCUCUCUUCCUCUCUGACUACAGUCGUAUAUUACAGGAAAACAGUUGGAGCUCUCUCUCUCUCUCUCUCUCUCCAAUUGGCCCAGGGAUCCUUUCAUGUGUAACGUCAACAUGAGUGACUGAAGCGGCCCCAUGCGGGAUGUCUGACAGACGAUGAAUUACUGGGGCUUUGACAGAUGUGAAGAGUGACACAUGCGCGUUGUGUCAGCAGAGAUUCGUGUUUGACUAAGAGUGAUGCUUUCAGCAGUUUCCCCAGCAAAUUCACGACCUUGAGCAUCUCAGCAUAUUUGCGCUCACUCUUUGCCCAUUUAGGAUAAGUAUGAAUCAUUGAUCUAUCCCGUAUGAGGUGAUAGGCAAGCUGUGUCCACAAGUGUAUUUGUUUCCCCUGUCUAUACAUGCAUGUAGGGAUACAUAAUGUUAAUUCCCUCUGAGAAGUAAAACAUACUGUAGUAGUUGUAUACUUUUCUUGGUUGUUCUAACAACUGCCUCUGUGCAUACCUGUGUAUACUAGUAUGUACUUCUUUACUAUUAUGUACUUCUGUACUAGUAUGUACCUCUGUACUAGUAUGUACUUCUGUAUAUUUUGGUCAAAUCUCUCUGUGUUCUUUGCACUAGGCACACCCAGUACACCUGUAUUCUGUACACAACAAGAAUGUCCCUCCAUGGCUGCUAAAGGAAGCUCAGGUUGAAACGUGUCUUCUCGUGUACUUCUCCAAUUUACUGAAAUGACAUGUUUUUUACUUUCUCAGAGGCGUGUCUUUCCAGAGUCCUGCAUACGAUUGAUUUUUUUGGCAGCUGCCAAAACGAACAUUUGGGCCACGCAGUGGAAAGGUCAUUGCCGUUGUUACUGUCACUUGAUUGGACAUCCUCAUCUGGCAUUAUGAUUGUUAGUGCUGAUUCACGUCUGUAGAGCCACAAACAAACGGCAAGUGCAGAUUUAGGUUUCUGCUCUACAAAUGCAGCUUUCCAAAAUAGACCCCAAUAGUUGGAGAGCCAAGGAGGAAUUCUGUUUGGGUCCGGUUAGUCAUGUUUCUCGUGUUAUUCCCUGUCAUCCUAUUAACGGCAUCAACAAGCGUCAAGCCUUCCCACAUGCACGUAAUGAGGUAUGCCUGUCACAACACAUAACUUGGCACGCUGCAAGCGAGCCUCUUCCCUCUGCCAGAAUUUUCAUCUGAUCUCCACGUCGAUCCAGGAUAACCUACAAUGAAUCAGCGGUCACUCAUUUAAUACUUAGACAGCAUCUGGAACAUUCCCUCACCACUGGCUCUAAGCAGACAGACACACGCCAGCUCAGAUGGCACAAAGGCAUCCACACAGAGAACUAUAAGCCAAAUAUAUUUAUGCGAUAAUCCACAAAGCUAUUUGUUUCCCUUUUUGACUAAAACAUCUAUUGCCAUGCUCCAUAAGAAUAGCAGUUGUUACAGUUGAGUGUUGUAACUUCAGGACAAAUCAUCCUGAUUCCACAGCUGGCUGACAAAGAGAGAUCACAGCCUGUUUUCUAUUUCUAUGCCAAGAUCUGCAGUUUAAAGACUUAGCACAAAUCCCAUCAGUAUUACACUGUCGGGGAAAUCUCUUUGUCUUAAAUAAAUGUUCAAUAUUCAAAUCUCACCUAAUUCACUUUCAGUGUAAUUAGCUAUUCUGUUCUCUUAUUUGUAAGGCACCAGGAAGAUGAAUGUGCAGCAUCAGUGACAGCAGGGUCUUUGGCGUGGGGGGUGGAGGAGCUGGCCAGGAGCCCCUGUGUCCUCUAAAUAGCAUCGGAGAGGAGAGGAGAGGAGAGGAGAGGAGAGGAGAGGAGAGGAGACACGAGCACCUAAGAGGAUGCACACAGCCGUAGGAGAUCUGUCAACAUCCACCUGUUUGGAAACUGGGUCAGUGGAGAGCCAGCCAUUUUGGCUCUGAGGUGUUUAAUGUAUGUCUUAAAAUAAGCAUCAGACAGAAUAAAGUCAGGUUUUACCUGACACAGUCUGCUAGAGUCUGCUAGCUCAUUGCAUUGUGUUUGGGUAAUGAUUUUUUAUAUUUCACUUCUUAACUAACGGCAAAGUCAAAAUGAUAUCCCCAACUGCAUUAAUCCAUUGCUUUGCAAAGACAGAGAACCUCUCCACGAGACAAUUUCACAGACCAUUUAAUGGUUGAUGGAUGGAUAAAAACCUAUACUAGAUUCUGGGCAAAAGAUAUAAAGAGCUAUUAUUUCCAAAUCGACAGGAACCAACAUCCCUGCCAGCAGGCUUGUGAGGACACAACAAUAUGUGUGCCUUUCCCUUUCAGAGUAUGUGGGAGCGUGAUAGCUUCCUGAAAUAAACCGUGGAGUCUGGCUCAGGGCCCAAUCCUCCACGGUGGCACAGGGCUGACUGUGUAGCCUACUACAGCUCUGCAGGGCAGAGAGCGUGCCAGCCAGCCAGCAGCUCAGGAAUCCCGAGGCCACAGUGAGUCACUCAGCCCCAAUACAAACACACUCUGGGUCAGACAACCCCAGUGAGAUAGAUCCCAGCAGCUGUAUAUAGCCUAUGGAACAGUGAGAGUGCAUAAGUAUAUGACCAAAGCCAUGAUUGUUUGAUGACCUGAUUUUACAAUCUCAGAAGAGUGUAGUUUCCCAGAAGCUGUCGGUCUAAAGUGUAAAGCUCUGAAACUAUUAUCAAUCUAAGGCUUGUGCAUGAAGUUUAGGAUCAUGCUACAAACCCCAGGACAGGUCAUAAACUUUAUCUUCCUCUUACUUUAAUUGGCAAUCAUUGUAAUAAUAAUAAAACACUUGUAUUGAUUCAAUCUUGCGGUUCAUAUACUCAUGCAUUCCUCCGUGUACUCAAAUUAUGCAUAAACACAUAAAUAAAUGCAUUAGGAAAAAGAAGCAAACUUACCUCUACUCUACGCGGAUAUCUGAUUGAGGGUCCCCGACGAAUGCAUAUUUGCCAUAGUGGUAGGUGUGCGCUUCUACGAGAUUAUCUAUCGAGCAUGAACCCUCAGUCUGUUAAGAUCUCAGCAACACAAUUGAUGAUAAUAUCUUGAAUGUUGCAUGUGGAUGGCAUACAAAGCAGAUCAAUAGUAACUGGACAUUAAAGUCGUGGAAGUUAUUCCCUGACAGAUUUGCUUGGUGCUUAAUAUCUCCUAGGUCUAAGAGCAACGCUGCAUCUCCGGCGUCUUCGAGCUGGAUGCAAGGUGCACGAUCAACAGAACAGCAAGAAAAUCAACUGGACGCGCCGCCGAACAAGAAAAUGCAUCGUCUGGACACACGUAUGGGAGUGUACCUGACCUAAAUGCCUGACAAUUGCCAUUCUGCUGAAACGUUUUUUGUUUGUUUGUUUGUUUGUUUGUUUAUACGACAAUAUAGUCUAUUCAUAUGCACGUCAGAUUGCACCUGAUAGUAGACCGAAUGUAGUCCUGUUUUGCGCUUUUUUCUGAUAAAAUGCGUUACCAGCAACAAAGCGACUGCAGUAAUAUCUGUAAUAACAAGUAUGAAGUUCUAAGAAUAACGACAGGAAGAUGUUCUUUCAUUCAGAAAAAGAGACACAUUAAUAUGCAUGACCCAAAUAGGUUGGCUACCAAAUUAUAAAAGGCACACCUUGACCAAUGGUCUUAAAACGCCGUUCUCACAAACAUCUCGGAGCGUCUUCUCAGCGUAUUCCACAGCGAGUGAAAUGCAGCUAUUUCCCCUGCACAAACACCUGUAGCUUUGACGGCAAUGUAUGCCUUUACUUAGUGGCAAAAACCUUAAUGAUAAAUCUUGAAUUGUUUACUAUCCAAUAAGGUAAAACUCCAUAAAGACAGACCAACCUGUAGCAUAAGGGCAAGGCCUAUCGUUGUCAACUUCUUGGCGAAGUGCAGCCUUAGACAGUUGAUGGAGAAAAGGUCUGACAGAGACCAUGUGUACAUGUGUCGGCUCUGAUCGCGCAGGGAACGAAUGGUCUCAUAUUUAUACAAACGUCUCCGCUUUAGGUUUGGAACUGCGCUCACUGUUUACAACAGCUGAGGACUAAACCACGCCCACUGGAAAAUGAUUGGUCUUCUAAAUUCCUAAGCAAUUCUUUUCGCUCAGAUUCCAUUUACAGUAGGCUACAAACAUAUACCCAACGUGUGUGAAUAAGAACAAAACACGAUUAUGUAUCGGCGAGAAGAGUCAUAAGGAGGCACGCUCUUCAAGAUUGGAUCUUACGCGGAGUUUUCCUUUGUCACGGCAUGAUUUCCUCGGGGCGUUAUCUGCAGAGAAAAUGUUAUUUAUUUUAUUCUCCCUAAUUCAGAACAAAGACGUAAAAAAGUUCCAAUUUAGCAUGGUGUGGUCAGCAGAAAGACAUUAGGCUGUUGGGAAGCUAAAAUAACGCGCGCGCAUCUUGCGUAGGCUACUUGCAAUCGGUUGUCAAACUCCGUCCUCAGAAAUUUUUGCCAGAUUUUAUGAAUAUCGAAAUAUUACCCAUAGAGCCAUAGAUGAAUACAGUUCAGAAAAGAGAAUGUGGAUACAGUCCUAUACAAUGGUAUUUACGGGAGGGUUUCAUGAUUUCUCGGUGUGACUGUUACUACCACAAUAAAAAGUGGCUCACCCGAUAUUAAGACUUUCGGUGCAUGGCUAAAUGAUCGACGCCUUGCCUAUUCUUACAUAUCAGAAAGCAACUGUGUUCUCUCUCUCUCUCUCUCUCUCGUGGUUUAUUUAUAGACAAAAAACACCCGCUUCACUUACAUUUAUUUUAGGAAUAGGUCCACUAAAUAUUUCACAUGCGAUCGGGAGAUUAUGAAAAUAUGAGCAGGUGACUGGCUCUGCUUUAGUUUAGACUGCUGCCAUGUCUACGCAACAACCGUUUGGUCAUAUGCUCGCUGUGGUUCUGCCUCCCUCAUCAUAGUGUAUCCACAGAGGUCGCUGUUUACGUUGGGGAGUGAGAAAGAUGACAGCUUAAACUAGUUUUCACAGAAGCCACGUUCGGAACAAAUUUAGAAAUCGCUGUCUUGGCCAUAAAUGCGUAAGUGUCUACAUAUGAACAGCCUCAUAGUCAUCGCAA